rnacentral:rRNA from 1 species
GAUGAACGCUGGCGGCGUGCUUAACACAUGCAAGUCGAGCGGAAAUAUUUAAAAGUUUACUUUUAAAUAUUUUAGCGGCGGACGGGUGAGUAACGUGUGGGUAACCUGCCAUAUACUGGGGAAUAAUCAUUUGAAAAGAUGACUAAUACCGCAUGUCGUCACUAAGGGGCAUCCCUUGGUGAAAAAAGGAGUAAUCCGGUAUAUGAUGGACCCGCAUCUGAUUAGCUAGUUGGUGAGAUAACAGCUCACCAAGGCGACGAUCAGUAGCCGACCUGAGAGGGUGAUCGGCCACAUUGGGACUGAGACACGGCCCAAACUCCUACGGGAGGCAGCAGUGGGGAAUAUUGCACAAUGGGCGAAAGCCUGAUGCAGCAACGCCGCGUGAAGGAAGAAGGGUUUCGGCUCGUAAACUUCUAUCAAUGGGGAAGAAACAAAUGACGGUACCCAAAUAAGAAGCCCCGGCUAACUACGUG